rnacentral:misc_RNA from 1 species
GGCGGUGAGGGAAGGCUGGGGAGGCGCGCCUGCGAGGUGGGGAGGGCUGGGUGACGGUGGCGCGGCGUGGGGAGGAGGGAUGAGAGAGAAAACGGGAGAGAAAGAAAGAAGGGUCGGGACGCGCAGGGAAGAGAAGAAAAGAAGGAGGGAGGCCAGUCCGAUUCGACCGGUCCAGUUCGAUUUGAUUGGUUCGAUUCAGGAUACAAAAUU